GGCCGACUAGCUCAGUUGGUUAGAGCGUCGUGCUAAUAUAUCCUUGGGAUUUAAUUUGGGAUAUUACGCGAAGGUCUUAGGUUCGAUCCCCACGUUGGCCA
rnacentral:tRNA from 1 species